rnacentral:tRNA from 1 species
AGAGAUGUAGCUCAAGGGGCAGAGCACUUGCCUAAGCAAGCUCAAAGCCCUGAGUUCAAACCCCAGUAUCACCA